rnacentral:rRNA from 1 species
UACGUAGGGUGCGAGCGUUAAUCGGAAUUACUGGGCGUAAAGCGUGCGCAGGCGGUUUUGUAAGCCAGAUGUGAAAUCCCCCGGGCUCAACCUGGGAAUUGCAUUUGUGACUGCACGGCUAGAGUGUGUCAGAGGGGGGUAGAAUUCCACGUGUAGCAGUGAAAUGCGUAGAGAUGUGGAGGAAUACCGAUGGCGAAGGCAGCCCCUGGGAUAACACUGACGCUCAUGCACGAAAGCGUGGGGAGCAAACAGG